ACGGUCGUAUCAUGUUGAAACACCGGUUCCUGUACGAUCUACCGAAGUUAAGCAACGUCAAGACUGGCCACUACUUAGAUGGGUGACCAUUUGGGAAUUCCAAGUGCUGU